GCUUCACCUUUAAGGCAGCGCAGGGACUGCUGGGAAGGCCGGCGGGAUGGAGGCGGCGGGACCCGCUCACGGCGGCUGGUCCGGGUGAAGCGGCACCGGAGCAGGAGCCGGAGCCGGAGCCGAGCCGUAGCGGGAGGCGGGCCCAGCGGGAGACUGAGCGGCGUGGCCCCAGGCUGGGCACCCCCUGCCCGCCCUCUCGCCUUCACAGGAGGCACGGCCAUGGCCACGAUGGUGCUUCCUCGGGAGGAGAAGCUGAGCCAGGAUGAGAUCGUGCUGGGCACCAAGGCCGUCAUCCAAGGGCUAGAGACCCUGCGCGGGGAGCAUCGUGCCCUUCUCGCUCCCCUGGUCGCUCAUGAAGCUAGUGAGGCAGAGCCGGGCUCACAGGAGCGCUGUGUCCUCCUGCGCCGUUCCCUGGAGGCCAUCGAGCUGGGGCUGGGGGAGGCCCAGGUGAUCUUGGCACUCUCGAGCCACCUGGGAGCUGUGGAGUCAGAGAAGCAGAAGCUGCGGGCCCAGGUGCGGCGCUUGGUGCAGGAGAACCAGUGGCUGCGCGAGGAGCUGGCGGGGACACAGCAGAAGCUGCAGCGCAGCGAGCAGGCCGUGGCCCAGCUCGAGGAGGAGAAGCAGCACUUGCUGUUCAUGAGCCAGAUCCGCAAGUUGGAUGAGGACACCCCACCCCACGAGGACAAGGGGGACGUCCCCAAAGACUCUCUGGAUGACCUGUUCCCCAGCGAGGAGGAGCAGAACCCAGCCCCCAGCCCUGGAGGAGGCGAUGUGGCCGCCCAGCACGGGGGCUAUGAAAUUCCGGCCCGGCUGCGCACCCUGCACAACCUGGUGAUCCAGUACGCCUCCCAGGGCCGUUAUGAGGUGGCCGUGCCCCUCUGCAAGCAGGCCCUGGAGGACCUGGAGAAGACGUCGGGCCACGACCACCCGGACGUGGCCACCAUGCUGAACAUCCUGGCGCUGGUCUACCGGGACCAGAACAAGUACAAAGAGGCUGCCCACCUGCUCAAUGAUGCCCUGGCCAUCCGCGAGAAGACUCUGGGCAAGGACCACCCAGCUGUGGCUGCAACACUGAAUAAUCUGGCGGUCCUGUAUGGCAAGCGGGGCAAGUACAAGGAGGCUGAGCCUCUGUGCAAGCGGGCGCUGGAGAUCCGGGAGAAGGUCCUGGGCAAGUUUCAUCCAGACGUGGCCAAGCAGCUGAGCAACCUGGCCCUGCUGUGCCAGAACCAGGGCAAAGCCGAGGAGGUGGAAUACUACUACCGGCGGGCGCUGGAGAUCUAUGCCACACGCCUUGGGCCUGACGACCCCAAUGUGGCCAAGACCAAGAACAACCUGGCCUCCUGCUACCUGAAGCAGGGCAAGUACCAGGAUGCAGAGGCCCUGUACAAGGAGAUCCUCACCCGCGCUCACGAGAAGGAGUUCGGCUCUGUCAGCGGGGACAACAAGCCCAUCUGGAUGCACGCAGAGGAGCGGGAGGAGAGCAAGGAUAAGCGCCGGGACAGCACCCCCUACGGGGAAUAUGGCAGCUGGUACAAGGCCUGUAAAGUAGACAGCCCCACGGUCAACACCACCCUGCGCAGCUUGGGGGCCCUGUACCGGCGCCAGGGCAAGCUGGAAGCCGCACACACGCUGGAGGACUGUGCCAGCCGCAGCCGCAAGCAGGGCCUGGACCCCGCAAGCCAGACCAAGGUGGUGGAGCUCCUGAAGGACGGUGGCAGCGGGCGCGGAGACCGCCGUGGCAGCCGAGAUGGGCCCGGGGGUGUGGGGGCUCGGUCUGAGGCUGACCUCGAGGAGGCGGGGCCUGCCGCCGAGUGGAGCGGGGAUGGCAGCGGCUCCUUGCGGCGCAGCGGCUCCUUCGGGAAGCUUCGGGAUGCCCUGAGGCGCAGCAGUGAGAUGCUGGUGAAGAAGCUGCAGGGGGGUGGCCCCCAGGAGCCCCCAAACCCCAGGAUGAAGCGGGCCAGUUCCCUCAACUUCCUCAACAAGAGUGUGGAAGAGCCAGUCCAGGCCUGGCUGGACCCGGGGGAAACGUGAGGGAAAGCUGGGUGCUGCCUAUGAGCGGCCAGCGGCAAACACAGUGACUGUGGAGCCUGGAGGCACAGGCCUCUCUGACAGCCGCACCCUCAGCUCCAGCUCCAUGGACCUCUCCCGACGAAACUCCCUCGUGGGCUAAUCCUGAAGGGGCAGCCGUUCGCCAGAGCCUCCACCGGCACUGUCCCCACCCCAGCCCUGCGCAUGGGCCUGCUGCUUGCCCUCCUGUCUCUUCCAAGGACCCCUAUCUUUUCUGUUCAAUCUCAGGGUAACCUUCUCCCUUUAUCAUCUUAGCCUGAGCCCUGGAGGCUGGGCCCGCCCGCUCCAGCUCUCCCCCUUAUUUAUUCCUUCCAGCAGGGCCCCUCUUCCCUAGGUUCAGGGCCAGCAGAGGGGUUGGGCAGGGUCUCCAAGGUAGAGAGACUCAGUGGCCCGCUCUCCGCAGACCCGCGAUCCAAGAACACUAAGCACCUGCGGUCCCUUCAGCACCCAGCCCUCCCCCGGCCGUUGCUUCUGUAUAUAGAGAAAUAAGUUAUUGGCCGCACCCCUCCCCUCCGUCCUUGGUACUAUCCAGCCUCCCCUCACCCCACCCUUCUCUAGUGGUACCGCCCAGGCCUUAAUCACCCCCAUUCCGCGCGGUGGUAUCUCCCUGGCUCCACAUCUCAGGGGCGGCGCCUCCCCAAAGGGUUCCCUGGGCCUACUCGCGUUCCUCCCGGCCUCCAAGGGGUGCGCCCGGACCCGCCAUCGCCCCGUGUCCAGGACAGAAAGCCUGGCCCACAGCCGUCCGCUCCCCGCCGGGCCCUGCCCUGCAGCCGGGUCUUAUGCACUGCCCCGCCCGCCCCGCCCAGGCUCGGCCUGACCCCGCCCCGGGCACCGCCCACAGAGCCAUCCUACCACGCCUCCUCCCGCGUCUGCAGCUUCUAGCGAGGGGCAGUGAUGGCCCCCCGUGGCAGGAGGGGCUGCCCCAGUUGGGGAGUGAGGCGGUCGCUCUCUAUUUUCAAAUGUUGCUGUAGAAAUAAAGACGGUUUGACUCUGA